GCUCAGGUGUUGAAAGCAGAGAAUUUGUUCAAUUAGGCAGCAGCUGUGGAGGAAGCGCCCCGCGAAGCUACUUCAGCAGAGCUGGGAAGCUUCUGUGUCGGCUGUCGUUGCCUCGAAGGUCCGUGAUGACGGAGCUGUGGCUGGGCCCGGUGCACCCAUUCUGGACUCUGCUGAAGCAGGGGUCAGCUCAAGCACAGAGACCCAAAAUAUUGGCCUAAAGUCGAAUGAAGUUCCCGGCACAAGUCUGGUUUUCUAGGCCUGCCUAAAAACGUAGCAAUUUUGUUGCUUGGUCCGUUUCCUCCCGACUUGUCCCCAAGAAGCAACGGAACUAUUGCGGGCUGAUGGCACCCCCUGGAGGCCAGUGUGGGGAACUGUGUGACUCGUCUUGGCGACCACCACGGCCUUCCCCUAACCUUCCACGUGCUACUGCCCAGGUCAAAUUCCCUGCCUGUUCUGUCUCUUCCGGAGUGUAUCACACACACCCCUUCACAUAUGUGUGCACCCAUACCCCUCUUUCACUUCUUAAAUCAUCUCAACUCCUACCCAGUUAUUGCAGGGAAGAAAUAAUUCCAUCUCCCAGUUUUUAUUCCAUUUCUGUUGCCCCAAUUUAACUCAAAUCACAUCUGACAAGACUUAUAGGAGUGUGAGUGAAAUAGCUCUACUAAGGGAAAGAAAAGGCAUCGGUUUUGAAGUAAAAUUUAGUGUAGACAAGAUAAUCCCGCAGGGCCUGGUCCGGGUACCAGGCUCCCAGGCGGAGGGAACCACUGUCUUCGUGCAUAGGACUGAGAAAGAUUGCCUUGGACUUGGGCCUUCAAGUGCUAAAACUGGGACGGUUCCCAGAAAACUGGGACAAUUUAAUUGGUCACCCUCCUCCCAGGACUUGGUAGCAGUCCGGGGCGCUCUCCUCCAUGCAGUGAGAAGUGGGAGAGCCCUUCCCUCUGAGAGACGGGGGAAAAGAGAAAAUCGACGACUCGUACAGAUUACAGGCGUUUUGGGGACACGCGGGCUCUCGGGGAGCUCCAGGAAGGCUGUACCGUACACUGAAAUAGACGUAAUGCGGGCCGAGUAUUGAGUCUGUUUUCUCAUCAUUCAGUAAAAUUCCUUAUAUAACAAAAAGCAAUCUAGAAUUUUUGUCAAAGAAACAUUAAUAAUUUUCAUUUAUGUAUGCUUUGUGUAAUUUCUUAUUACUCUAAAUAGCUUCUGCAUCUCAUAAAAGCUAAAAAGUAAUGGCUGCCUUUUUAAAAAUUGACAUAAUUGACAUCUAUUAGUUUCAGGUGUAUAACAUAAUAAUUUGAUAUUUGUGUAUAUUGCAAAAUGAUCAACACACUAAGUCUAGUUAACAUCCAUCACCACACAUAGUUACACGUUUUUUUCUUGCGAUAAGAACUUUUAAGAUUUACUCUUAGCAACUUUCAAAUAUGCAAUAUAGUAUUAUUAACUAUAGUCACCACGCUAUACGUUACAUCCCCAGGACUUUUAAAUUUUAUAACUGGAAGUUUG
rnacentral:lncRNA from 1 species